GACGAACGCUGGCGGCGUGCUUAACACAUGCCAGUCGAACGGUGAACCUCUUCGGAGGGGGUCAGUGGCGAACGGGUGAGUAACACGUGGGCAACCUGCCCCCGGCUCUGGGAUAACUCCAAGAAAUUGGGGCUAAUACCGGAUGUUCACCGCUUCCCGCAUGGGUGGUGGUGGAAAGGGUUUCCGGCUGGGGAUGGGCCCGCGGCCUAUCAGCUUGUUGGUGGGGUAGUGGCCUACCAAGGCGACGACGGGUAGCCGGCCUGAGAGGGUGACCGGCCACACUGGGACUGAGACACGGCCCAGACUCCUACGGGAGGCAGCGGUGGGGAAUAUUGCGCAAUGGGCGGAAGCCUGACGCAGCGACGCCGCGUGGGGGAUGACGGCCUUCGGGUUGUAAACCUCUUUCAGCAGGGACGAAGCGCAAGUGACGGUACCUGCAGAAGAAGCACCGGCCAACUACGUG
rnacentral:rRNA from 1 species